rnacentral:rRNA from 1 species
CAGCGCCACGGUAACACGUAGGGUGCAAGCGUUAAUCGGAAUUACUGGGCGUAAAGCGUGCGCAGGCGGUUAUAUAAGACAGAUGUGAAAUCCCCGGGCUCAACCUGGGAACUGCAUUUGUGACUGUAUAGCUAGAGUACGGCAGAGGGGGAUGGAAUUCCGCGUGUAGCAGUGAAAUGCGUAGAUAUGCGGAGGAACACCGAUGGCGAAGGCAAUCCCCUGGGCCUGUACUGACGCUCAUGCACGAAAGCGUGGGGAGCAAACAGGAUUAGAUACCCGUGUAGUCCCUGUCUCUUAUACA